AAGAAACAGACAAUUUUAAAGCACAGAACAUUUCUAAACUUAAAUUUAAUAUCUUUUCAUGACUUAAAUACAGAAAAAUACUAUCUUCCAAAUAGUAAAUAGUAGUAAGGAAAGGGAGACACUUCCAUUUUCAGAAAGACAUGAUGUAUUAACUUAUGUUUUUAAUCUUUUCAGGCAAUGAGAAGAAACAUCGAUUAAAAAAAUUAAAAUAUAAAAUUUAAAAAGCCCACUGCAAUUUCCAAAUUUUGCAGCAUAUACUUGUAGGUACUAAUUCUGUUUUGAAAAGAGAUUCUGAAAGUGGCAGCAUCAUGUUCUGUCCUCAUUCUGCUGUGAUGACUUGUUGAGCUGGCAAGCUCAAUAAGCACUGAUGGGCUGUUUCAGCAGAGCCAACUCUGAGGACUUUUCUUGGCUUAGGGUCAGUUGUUAAUAUACAAACUCUGCCCUUGCUGUGUACAUGUGCCCUUACUGGUGAGGUUUCACAGCUCCACAAGUGGGCAGAACCUGCAGUUAAGACUAAAUCUGCAAAAAUGAGAAAUGAGUCAACAGCAGGAAAAGCCUGGCUCACUUUGGUGCUCAUCCACAGUCAAGCCAAGCAAUGUGCCACUCAUGACAGCUAACACUGUUCUCAAAAAAAGUGACAUUUUUAAAUUCCGUUUUCAGAACAGAACCAUGAGUAGGCUAUUAGCAAGAAAGCCAUUAUCCCUCCCUCCAGCUUAUGUGUCUCACUCCUCCUAAGCAUUAGAAAAAAAAUAAAGUAUAAAAAGACUUGUGGAAAAAAAAGUAUCACAGAGUCAAACUGCUGUCAACUUUAUCCGCCCUAAAACUGUUUUUAGAAAACAAAAUGCAAUGUCAUCAUAAACACAGCCCUUUCUCUCCUUGUGCCCCUCCCACCAUGAGUUUUCUGCCUCUUGGCAGGUUCAUUAAGAUCAAGUGUCAGGUGUGUAGUGACAGAACUGAAUGUGACAUAGGCAAAUGAUACUAAAGCGCAACUGAAACAAAAAUUGAUCAGCCUGGCUCAAGUCCUCUGUAAAGAUCUGAGUCUACCUGGCAGGAAUAAACAGUGGGCAAGCAGCAACUGCUGCAGCAGAGACAGGGCCAGGACUUCAUCCAAAGCCCACCAAGAACAGCAGAAGUAUUUAAUCCAGCUGCAAUGGAUUUUAAAACCCAAAGGUGAAUGCAGAAAAGCACCUGCCAAACACUCUCCAUUUUGUCCCAAGCAAUACAUCACUUACCUUUUGGUAUGCUUCACUAAAGAAAAAAUAAAGGACCCAGGUGAAUCCCCAUGAAGAGCAUCAAACAGCAUCUACAGCAACUCCAGCCUAGAGAAGGCAGUCACACCAAGAGAAAACAAAGACUCACCAUGAUCUACUUAAAGGAAACCAGAAAUGACCUUUCAAAAUUCUCUGCUCAUCCUUUGUAGUUUUCUUAGUCUUCUCCUUCAAGGAGGAAGCCAACAGGACCUCGGCCAGGAUCCUACAGAAAAUUGCUACUUUUGUAAUAGGAGACCCCUCACAACUACAAAAAUAAUGCAAAGGUACAAUAGGUAACAUGUUCCUCUAGGCCCUCUGAUUACAUACCCUAAUUUUUAUUUUUGUGCAAUAAAUUCAGCAGUUGUGGUUGG